rnacentral:rRNA from 1 species
GAUGAACGCUGGCGGCGUGCCUAAUACAUGCAAGUCGAGCGAACGGACGAGAAGCUUGCUUCUCUGAUGUUAGCGGCGGACGGGUGAGUAACACGUGGAUAACCUACCUAUAAGACUGGGAUAACUUCGGGAAACCGUAGCUAAUACCGGAUAAUAUUUUGAACCGCAUGGUUCAAAAGUGAAAGACGGUCUUGCUGUCACUUAUAGAUGGAACCGCGCUGCAUUAGCUAGUUGGUAAGGUAACGGCUUACCAAGGCAACGAUGCAUAGCCGACCUGAGAGGGUGAUCGGCCACACUGGAACUGAGACACGGUCCAGACUCCUACGGGAGGCAGCAGUAGGGAAUCUUCCGCAAUGGGCGAAAGCCUGACGGAGCAACGCCGCGUGAGUGAUGAAGGUCUUCGGAUCGUAAAACUCUGUUAUUAGGGAAGAACAUAUGUGUAAGUAACUGUGCACAUCUUGACGGUACCUAAUCAGAAAGCCACGGCUAACUACGUG